GAUCCACAUGCCAAGUUGAAGAAUUACUAAAAUGCCAUAUAUGAAUGUUACCCUUGCAAUCACCAGAAGCUAACGUGCCUACUUCUGUUGGACACCAAUCAAGUCCAUAUCCUUCUGAAAGAUGUCCUUUAAAACUAAAUAAUGGUUUGAUGUUCCCAUCAUUUUUCUUAGACUCCUUAUUAUAUGCACGUAGCAAUUCAUCAUUAUCAAGUGCAUUUAAUUGUUUUUCCAAAUCCCAAAUAUGUACACGUCCUAAUUCACUCCAACUUGCUGCCACAGCUUUAUUACCAAUUCUUUUAUCUAACUCUAUUAACACAACCUUGAUGCUUUAUUGGUGCAACAGACAAAAUUGGUAUAUUUGUAUCACUUUCACUAUGCAAUUCAUCAUCAUCUGAUUCAUCAUCAGAAUUAUCUUCUAUACCACAUAGAUUUUUCAUUUUCAUAACAAGGAGAUUGUUGACAUGUGUCUUGGCAGCUUGAGUUCCAGCCACAAGAUAUAUAUUCAAUGGGUAAUCUUCUCUAUUAUUACCCAAGUCAUCUAAAAUAAUAUCAAAACUAAGACAAGGAGCUCCGGAUUGGGCAUGAUGUAACAUUCGAUAUGCUGUCUUGUCCACAAUAAGCUCUUCUCCACAUUCUAAAGACUUUCCAGGAAGAUAUAUCUCAGAUUUAUUAUUUUCUACUUCAUCACUUGCAAUAGAAUCCUCUUCAUUACUAUCACUGCUGCUUUCUUCCAUAUCCUCAUCAACUUCACUCAUUUGUUCACACUCCAUUUCUUUAGAAAUUUCUUUAUAAAAAAUAGUCAUCUUAAUAAAAAUACAUCUAUAAUUAGAAAUAAAGAAAAAUUUAAAUAAUCAAAUACAUAUGCGAGUAAUCUAACCUUAGUAUGCAAUAAAGCUAUAUAUGUAUGUAUAUAAAUAUAAUGAAUAUUUUUUGAUAUUAACAUUUCUAACAUAAUAUGUUAGUUCAACAUAUUAUUUGGAAAAAUUUGUGUGUUAUAAAAUAUAUGUGUUAACAAAUUUAUCGUUAAUAUAAAAAAUUCUAUAAAUUACCUCUUACUACACACAGAUUCGAAGCACGUGGAGGAAACAAUAUCCGAGAAACGCUUUAUAGGUUAUACGUUAUAUUAACCCUUAGAGUAUUAUGGGCACAUAUAGGCGUCUGGCGACAGCUAUCG
rnacentral:misc_RNA from 1 species